CUUCUACAGAUGAAGACGAAGAGAGUUGCUAUGAACAUCACAACAGUGUGUUUCAAGCCAAUGGCUUAUGGACUGAUCAUGUGACUCUACAGGCCUUGAGGCUUCUCCUCCUAAAGACCACCAUCUUUAAUGCUCUGAUCACAGCAUGUGCUGUUAGAAAGUGAUGGCCAGGAGUAGAUGAAAAGAGGAUUACUUCUAUAUGGUCUUUAUAGAGAAGAGAGAGACCAUGGUCCACAGAAAGGAUGACUUCUCACCUCUACAAUGACCACCACAGAGGACAUUGUCCAGUAAUGGCUAGGGUCUGCAGAGGGCGUCUCCUGGAGUAGCUGUGCAUGUGUGUGUUCAUGAGUUUGGGCGUGCUUCUCAGAAACCUGGAGGUUGCAGGUGUCCCUGUGAAUGUUAGGGUGACAGUUACUGUAGCUGUUUGUGUGUGUGAACAAACCUGUAGUAUCUGAUCACCUCAGACAGAUGUACACAUACAGAGACAAUUGGCUUCCACUCUGACCUAAUUCUCUGUCAGUUAGAAACACUAAGACCAGAUACAAUGUGAAAUAACAUAAGAUAUGUAAA